rnacentral:rRNA from 1 species
AUUGAACGCUGGCGGCAGGCCUAACACAUGCAAGUCGAACGCGUGGCGGACGGGUGAGUAAUGUCUGGGAAAAUGCGCGAUGGAGGGGGAUAACUCCUGGAAAAGGUAUCUAAUACCGCAUACCAUCGGAUGUGCCCAGAUGUGUUUAGCUCGUGGGGGGGGUAACGGAUCACCUAGGCGACGAUCCCUAGCUGGUCUGAGAGGAUGACCAGCCACACGGGAACUGAGACACGGUCCAGACUCCUACGGGAGGCAGCAGUGGGGAAUAUUGCACAAGGGGCGCAAGCCUGAUGCAGCCAUGCCGCGUGUAUGAAGAAGGCCUUCGGGGUGUAAAGUACUUUCAGCGAGGAGGCGUUACUCGCAGAAGAAGCACCGGCUAACUCCGUGCCAGCAGCCGCGGUAAUUC